rnacentral:snRNA from 1 species
UGAGUCAUGUCGUUAAGUAGGUU